rnacentral:rRNA from 1 species
GAUGAACGCUAGCGGCAGGCUUAACACAUGCAAGUCGAGGGGCAGCACAGGUAGCAAUACCGGGUGGCGACCGGCAAACGGGUGCGGAACACGUACAGAACCUACCUUGAUCUGGGGCAUAGCCCGAAGAAAUUCGGAUUAACUCCCCAUAACAUAGACGAGUGGCAUCACUUAACUAUUAAAAUUUAAUUGGAUCGAGAUGGCUGUGCGUCCCAUUAGCUAGUUGGUAGGGAACGGCCUACCAAGGCGACGAUGGGUAGCUGGUGUGAGAGCACGACCAGCCACACGGGCACUGAGACACGGGCCCGACUCCUACGGGAGGCAGCAGUGAGGAAUAUUGGUCAAUGGACGCAAGUCUGAACCAGCCAUGCCGCGUGAAGGAUGAAGGCCUUCUGGGUUGUAAACUUUCUUUUAUUCUGGGAAGAAAACUUAAGGUUUCUUACUUUAGUCCGACGGUACCAGAGGAAUAAGCACCGGCUAA